rnacentral:rRNA from 1 species
AUUGAACGCUGGCGGCAUGCCUUACACAUGCAAGUCGAACGGUAACGGGCCUUCGGGUGCCGACGAGUGGCGAACGGGUGAGUAAUACAUCGGAACGUGCCCGAUCGUGGGGGAUAACGAGGCGAAAGCCUUGCUAAUACCGCAUACGAUCUACGGAUGAAAGCAGGGGACCGCAAGGCCUUGCGCGGACGGAGCGGCCGAUGGCAGAUUAGGUAGUUGGUGGGAUAAAAGCUUACCAAGCCGACGAUCUGUAGCUGGUCUGAGAGGAUGAUCAGCCACACUGGGACUGAGACACGGCCCAGACUCCUACGGGAGGCAGCAGUGGGGAAUUUUGGACAAAGGGCGCAAGCCUGAUCCAGCCAUGCCGCGUGCAGGAUGAAGGCCUUCGGGUUGUAAACUGCUUUUGUACGGAACGAAAAGCCUUCUUUUAAUACAGGAGGGUCAUGACGGUACCGUAAGAAUAAGCACCGGCUAACUACGUG